rnacentral:rRNA from 1 species
AGAACGAACGCUGGCGGCAUGCCUAACACAUGCAAGUCGAACGAGACCUUCGGGUCUAGUGGCGCACGGGUGCGUAACGCGUGGGAAUCUGCCCUUGGGUUCGGAAUAACAGCGAGAAAUUGCUGCUAAUACCGGAUGAUGACGUAAGUCCAAAGAUUUAUCGCCCAAGGAUGAGCCCGCGUAGGAUUAGCUUGUUGGUGAGGUAAGAGCUCACCAAGGCGACGACCCUUAGCUGGUCUGAGAGGAUGAUCAGCCACACUGGGACUGAGACACGGCCCAGACCUCCGUACGGGAGCAGCGAGGUGGGAAUAGUAGGACAAGUGGGACGAAAGCCUGACU